CUGGAGCAAACUGCAGCACUUGGUCUGUGUUUUAGUUUCAGACACGUGUGGGGUGCAGCUAAUGAGCCCUUUCUCCUGCCCUUUGUCUCCUUACUCUUCUUAGAGAUGUUCUUUAGAGAAGGUCUGCAGAGAUUCUCUGGGGCACAUGGAAGUUUCAAUGGGAGGCCCAAAACACAGUAAGGUGUGUUUCUUUAGUGAAGAGAAGCUAGAGAACUUAAUCUCAUAUCACAGAGCAGAUUGCUGCUGCACAAAGAGGAAAACAUCUCAGCCAGAAAAACUUCCUAGGCCAUGGCAGUAAAAUGGACAGAGAAGAGAGUCACCAGAAAGGAAGCGAGGAAACCAGAAACAAGACCACUGACACUUUGUUUCAUCCAAGGAAGUGGCAAAUCCUUUGACCUCCAAAAGGCAAACACCACCAGGAACUGCUCAGGGAACUUAGAAAGCUCAGCCUUCAAUCAAAUUGGCUUGAAACUGGCUAACUGAUUCAGAAGUUACUGGGAAGACACAAAGGAAAUGUGGCUUGCUGAAUUAAUGAGCAACUCCUGGGAUUUUGGUUGGGCAAUCCAAGCCAAUAUCUAUGCUGGUUAAGAUCUUCACUGUCAAUGAAAACAGGAUUAUAUUUUGGAUUCACAGUCUGAACUAAAAACACCAAAGUAGAUGCCAGUGUGUUUGGAUCAGGCAAGACAUAAUGCCCUGAGAUACACAGUCAUUGAUGACACCCUCUUUCCUGAACAUAAGCCUUAUGAUGUGCAAGAAUUUUUAACAGUAACCUCUGAAUUGGAAACAUAUUCAAAAAUAGAGACACAGAAUGAGAUUUUAUUGGAUCUCUACAAGGAAUACGAAAUCAUUCAGCAACAGUUUCAGAGGUGCCAAGUUAUGCAGCAUAAAUAGAUUAAUUCAAUUGUGUCUCUAUUGCUGUGAUUGUAGGAACCAAGUUAUCCUAAAUUAUGAACAAGCUUGAGUGACACAAUAGUUCAGUGUCCCCUGAGUCAUUUAGGACACCGACAAAGCACAGACAUCAUCAGACAUCAGUUUGGGUCCUGCUGAGUGCACUGUAGCAUUGAUGAGACCGCUACUUAGGACGCCAGCAACAUCCUCCCUUUUUCUUACCAG
ensembl:lncRNA